AAAAAGUUUUCUAUAUGAUAUAAAAAUAUAAAAAUCUCUCCUUUUUGAGAUGGGUCUUUAACCCAAUAAUGUUGCUGUUAACUUUAGAGACAAGGAAUUAAGCCUUAUCUUAUUUAUUAUGGAACACUUGAGAAAAGAAACACUUAUCUCCUUUUAACCUUAACAGCCGCAAAGAUCUGGAGCACCAAACUCCAUGAAUUUUCAUCUCUUCUUUUUAAUCAAUAAUAUUUUGAAUUUCAGAACUUGGAGAAAAACGUUGGUCUCUCUCUUUCCUCUUUUCUUUCACGCCG
rnacentral:lncRNA from 1 species